AAAUCAUCAUGCCCCUUAUGCUUAGGGCUACACACGUGCUACAAUGGGUAGUACAGAGGGUUGCCAAGCCGUAAGGUGGAGCUAAUCCCUUAAAGCUACUCUCAGUUCGGAUUGUAGGCUGAAACUCGCCUACAUGAAGCUGGAGUUACUAGUAAUCGCAGAUCAGAAUGCUGCGGUGAAUGCGUUCCCGGGUCUUGUACACACCGCCCGUCACACCACGGGAGUUGGAGACGCCCGAAGCCGAUUAUCUAACCUUUUGGAAGAAGUCGUCGAAGGUGGAAUCAAUAACUGGGGUGAAGUCGUAACAAGGUAGCCGUAUCGGAAGGUGCGGCUGGAUCCCCUCCUUUCUAAGGAGA
rnacentral:rRNA from 1 species